CUGACUGUUACAGUAAAUACUGAGUUGUUAUGUAAGGUGUUAUAGGUGUGUGUGUGAGACCAAGAUAAUUUGGCUUUAUUUUAUGUUUCGAUUUGUUGUUUUAUUUGAAAAGUUGUUUUUUUUAUUGAAACUCCUAUUUAUCGAGAAAGGCAAGUUUAUUAAUUUAACACAUUUCAUGUGCAGAAACAAUUCGAAGUGCUUUACAUAAAACAAUAAAAGAAGCAAUCAAAAGAAAUAGUAAAUGUGUGACCCUUAAAAGAAAGUGAAAAGAUUUUAAAAGAUAAAGAGGAUUUUUUUUUCUCCCCUGCAGAUCGAGUUCCCAGAAGUGACGUUGCAGAAAAGUUGUUGCCUGAAGAGCGGAGAGCAGAUCUACAAGGUAAAGUUCUUUGGAAAAGCCAUUUUUUUCCUGGACCUGCUGCAUCAGCCUGAUGAGGGGAGUGAAGAGGAGCUGUGAUCCCUGCCUCAAGUGUCGGCCUGAUGAACUGGGAUACAGCAUCCAGAUGGACUGCAUCUAGCACUUUAUCACCUCCAAACAAGUUAAUGUUCAAUUGAAUCUCCUGUUUAAAGUGUUCAUAUUGGACUUGCUUUAUUUAGGACUUGGUCUUUACUGGCUCCAUGUUUACAUGUUGAGUCUUAAAGCUUUAUUAACAAAGUUGAUGUUGACAUUUUCAAAGCAUUUCAGAAAUGCCUCUUCUUACAGGUAAAAACUGAAAGCUAACAUUGUAAUUAACAGAUAUGAAAAUAAACACAAUGGUUUCAUGGCAA